GCCAGGCCAAGGACUGAAUGGGGCAUGGAAAUUGAUCAAGGGGUGAUACUGAGUGUUGACUAUUGCCAUGCUGCAGCUGGAAGAGCAGGGUCAGUGUCAAACUCUGCUCACAGGAAACACAGUCACUGUGAGAGAGACAAUCAAACACAGCAAUCAUUUCUCAGGGAAAAAGGUGGAGAAGAUAAAUGGAUUUCAGUCCCUUGGACUUCUAACUCCAGCAAAAUGGCUUUGGGGCACCUAGCAGGGCAAAGAGAGAGCGAGACAGUCUGAGAGAGGAGGCAGCUUAGCAGAGCCACAAAGGAAGCAGCCAUAAGUCAGAGGAGAAGUAAUUCAAGGGAAGAAGUUCUCUGGGUUUUUAAAAUAUCGAGGCUGAAGAAUAAUGGAUUCAGUCAGGGAAUAAACCUCUUUGCUGCACACAAAGCUAUGAGAAUUAGUUCUGCACCUGCCCAGCGACAGCACUCACUUUUCAUUGUCUGUACCCCUUUGUCAUUCCAAACGUGCUUAUA